rnacentral:tRNA from 1 species
GGCCAUCGUCUAGAGGCCUAGGACCCCGCCCUUUCACGGCGGAGGUCGCGGGUUCGAGUCCCGUCAGGGUCG